CGGGGUGAGUAACGCGUGGAGAACCUGCCGUAUACUGGGGGAUAACACUUAGAAAUAGGUGCUAAUACCGCAUAAGCGCACAGCUUCGCAUGAAGCAGUGUGGAAAACUCCGGUGGUAUACGAUGGAUCCGCGUCUGAUUAGCUGGUUGGCGGGGUAAAGGCCCACCAAGGCGACGAUCAGUAGCCGGCCUGAGAGGGUGAACGGCCACAUUGGGACUGAGACACGGCCCAAACUCCUACGGAAGGCAGCAG
rnacentral:rRNA from 1 species